CCAACAGAACAGCUUUCUGGCAACUAGUUGGCAGGGCCAGCAGUUGCGCGAACAUGCGAAUGUACUGUUUAUCAACCAACACGUGCGAGGUUUGUUUUGUUUUUAGCUAGGAACCAGCCACCAAAAUGAAGUUUUCGUACAAAUUUUCCAACUUGUUGGGGACAAUUUAUCGCAAUGGUAAUUUGGUCUUCUCGCCGGAUGGCAAUUCAGUUAUUAGUCCCGUGGGCAAUCGGAUAACGGUGCACGAUUUGAAAAACAACAAAUCGCGCACCCUUUCGUUGGAGUCGCGCUAUAAUUACACAAACAUUGCGCUUUCUCCGGAUGGAAGCCUGCUGAUCGCUGUUAACGAGCAGGGCGAUGCUCAACUCAUCAGCAUGGUGUCCUGCACGGUGAUACACAGACACAAAUUCCAAACUGGCGUGCAGUGCAUCUGCUUCAGUCCCGAUGGAAAAUAUUUUGCCGUGGCGCGUGAGAAUUUGGUGCUCAUCUUCUGCGCACCAGGAGAAAUAACCGGAGAGUACAACCCGUUCGUGCUGAAACGGAGCUUCCUCGGUGGCUAUGAUGAUGUUACCUGGCUGGAUUGGUCUUCAGAUUCGCGGCUACUGGCCAUUGGCUGUCGUGACAGCUCGACAAAGAUCUGCGCUAUCAACUACACAACGAAUUUCCGCACUUACAACUUAACUGGGCACACGGAUGGCAUUGUAUCCUGCUUCUUCGAAGCCAAUAGCUUGCAUCUCAACACAAUUAGUCGGAAUGGACAGCUUUGUUUGUGGGAAUGCAGCUUGGCCCCAUCGGAUUUGGAGGAUCCAGAGAAACCCGAGGUGCAAGCUCCAAAAAGCAGGAAGCUGGAGCAAAAGGACUCGGACAAUGAAUCCGAAGACGAUGUAGAAAACGUGGUAGAGAAGCAGGCUUUAAAAGAAGACUCGGCAGCUAUCGCCCUCGAUGUGAAUGAACUGAAGGACGAGGCAGUUAAGAAGAUGCAUCCCUUCUUUUAUAAAAAGCUGGCCCGACACUAUCUGGCUGAUGAACCCCGCAAAGAGCAAAGGGAUGUCCAGUUGACGGCAGCCAACUAUAACAGGCGCACUAAGGUCUUGGUCGUGGCCUUUAGCACCGGAGCAUUCUACCUCUAUGAGUUACCCGAUGUGAACAUGAUUCAUUCGCUGAGCAUUUCCGACUAUCCCAUCUCGGCGGCGAUAUUCAACUGCACUGGUGAUUGGGUGGCCUUGGCGUCGCGUGAGAUCGGACAACUAUUGGUCUGGGAAUGGCAAAGCGAGCAGUAUAUUAUGAAACAACAGGGCCACAGCAGCGAGAUGACCUGCAUUGCUUACUCUUCAGAUGGCCAGUACAUUGCCACUGGCGGUGAGGACUCCAAGGUGAAGCUGUGGAACACCCAAAGCAGCUUCUGCUUCGUCACCUUCAGUGAGCACACCAGCGGUGUGACUGGCAUUCAGUUCAGUAGGAACAAGAAGUUUUUGGUCAGCAGCUCCCUGGAUGGCACAGUGCGUGCUUUUGAUGUCAUCAGAUAUCGAAACUUUAGGACCUUUACCUCACCGAAUCCCGCUCAAUUUUCCUGCGUUGCAGUGGACUAUUCCGGCGAGCUAGUAGUAGCAGGCGGGCAGGAUAUCUUCGACAUAUUCCUUUGGUCGGUGAAAACGGGCAAACUUCUAGAGAUCAUCAGCGGCCAUGAGGGUCCAGUGGUCUCGUUGGCUUUCUCGCCAGUAGCCACAUCUUCCACUCUGGUUUCGGGUUCUUGGGACAAGACAAUCAAGAUUUGGAACUGCCUGGAAAGCAAUAGCGAGCAUGAAACCAUUGAUGCUGUCUCAGAUGUCACAAAUGUGACAUUCAGUCCCAGCGGUGAAGAGAUUGCUGUGGCCACAUUGAGCGGUAACAUAACCAUUUUUGACAUCAAAUCUGCUAGUCAAGUGACCAGCAUAGAGGGACGCAAUGAUCUGAGCAGCGGUCGCAUGGAAACCGAUGUGAUAACAGCCAAGAAGAAUGCCCAAGCCAAUUACUUCUCUACCAUUGAGUACUCUGCGGAUGGGGAGUGUCUGUUGGCUGCUGGAAAGUCUCCCAAUAUUUGUAUUUACCAUGUUAAGGAGGCCAUCCUCCUCAAGAAAUUCCAAAUCACUCAAAACCACAGCUUAGAUGGACUGAAUGAUUAUAUCAGUCGUAAGAAUUUAAGCGAAUUCGGCAAUAUGGCUUUAGUGGAGCAACGCGAAGAGUUUGAGGGCGGAAAGGUUGCCAUUCGAUUGCCUGGUGUACGCAAAGGAGAUAUGUCCUCCAGACGCUUCCAGCCCGAGGUGAGAGUGUUCUCUGUAAAGUUCUCGCCCACUGGUCAGGCCUUUGCAGCUGCUGGAACGGAAGGCCUCUGCAUCUAUGCCUUGGAUAAAGGCGUUGUCUUUGAUCCGUUUGACUUGUCGCUGGAAGUGACGCCGAAGGCGGUCCAUGAGUCUCUCAAAAAGCUGGACUUCACAAAGGCGCUGGUUAUGUCCUUGAAGCUAAAUGAACCCAAUUUGAUUGCUUUGGUGGUGGAGCGUGUGCCGUACAGGGAUAUCGAACUAGUCUGUGCGGAUCUGUCGGCAGAAUUUGCCCAGCGCUUGUUGCAGCAAUUGGCCCGCCUCUUGCAAUCCACGCCACACAUUGAAUUCUAUCUGCAAUGGAGCUGCUGCCUACUGACACUGCAUGGAAACCAGGAUGGCGUAUUCCAGCACACUGGCCUGCUGGCCCUGCAUGAAAUCCUCUCAAGGAAAUACGAAACCCUCAAUAAAAUCUGUGACUAUAACAAGUACACUUUGAGGGUUCUCCUGGACAGGGCCGACCAGUUGGAUCAAGGAAAUGAGGAAAGCAAGAGCACCAUGGACGGGGACAGCGAUGAUGAUAUGCUGCUUAUUAGGACAAAAGAGAAUGGGUCAUCACAGAUGCAGUUUAGCGACGAGGAGGAGAGUGCCACAGAAUCCGAGGAUGACGAAUAGGAAUGUUGUUCGAUACAUCCGCCUUUUGUCGAUGUCUUGUUGAUUGUGUUUAAAUGCAAAUAUUAGUUUGUUUGAACCCUAUUCGAGAGCUCACCGAACUAUGAUCAGCUUAGUGAACACCGCAACUUAAGAGAUGGAAAGGAUACAUACUUACAAAUAUGUAAACUGGACUGGCAUAGCAGAUAAAUCUUAGAUAAAUAUGUAUAUUUAUGUUAAUAUAGUGAUAUAAUGUAUUUACAUUGUGUCUGUAUUUUCAUAUCAAAUAUAAACUCGAUUUAGCUUAACAAUAA